rnacentral:rRNA from 1 species
AGUGACGAUAGCCUAGGAGAUACACCUGUUCCCAUGCCGAACACAGAAGUUAAGCCCUAGUACGCCUGAUGUAGUUGGGGGUUGCCCCCCUGUUAGAUACGGUAGUCGCUUAGCAAAUAGGGAGUUUAGCUCAGAUGGGAGAGCA